rnacentral:rRNA from 1 species
GACGAACCGUGCGAACGUUGUUCGGAAUCACUGGGCUUAAAGGGCGCGUAGGCGGCUCGCCAGGUCCGGGGUGAAAGCCCCCGCUCAACGGGGAAGGGCCCUGGAAACCGGCGGGCGUCGAGGGAGGUAGGGGCCGUGUGGAACUUCCGGUGGAGCGGUGAAAUGCGUAGAUAUCGGAAGGAACGCCGGUGGCGAAAGCGACGGGCUGGACCUCUGCUGACGCUGAGGCGCGAAAGCCAGGGUAGCGAACGGGAUUAGAUA